GUCUACGGCCAUGCCACCCUGAACAAGCCCGAUCUCAUCUGAUCUCGGAAGCUAAGCAGAGUUGGGCCUGUUUAGUACUUGGAUGGGAGACCACCUAGGAAGACCAGAUGCUGUAAACG
rnacentral:rRNA from 1 species